rnacentral:rRNA from 1 species
CGACAGCCGCGUGAGUGAAGAAGGACCUAGGGUUGUAAACCUCUUUCGCCAGGGAAGAUAAUGACGGUACCUGGUAAAGAAACCCCGGCUAACUCCGUGCCAGCAGCCGCGGUAAUACGGAGGGGGUUAGCGUUGUUCGGAAUUACUGGGCGUAAAGCGCGCGUAGGCGGAUUAGUAAGUCAGAGGUGAAAUCCCGGGGCUCAACCUCGGAACUGCCUUUGAUACUGCUAGUCUAGAGUUCGAGAGAGGUGAGUGGAAUUCCGAGUGUAGAGGUGAAAUUCGUAGAUAUUCGGAGGAACACCAGUGGCGAAGGCGGCUCACUGGCUCGAUACUGACGCUGAGGUGCGAAAGCGUGGGGGAGCAAACAGGAUUAGAUACCCU